UUUAAUUGAAGAGUUUGAUCAUGGCUCAGAUUGAACGCUGGCUGCAGGCCUAACACAUGCAAGUCGAACGGUAACAGAGAGCAGCUUGCUGCUCUCUUGACGAG
rnacentral:rRNA from 1 species